CAGACAAAAUAUUCCGGCGCUGGGUCCGCCAUUGAAUAUGCUGUGUUACAUUUGAAGGUGGAGAAUAUUGUAGUCAUUGGUCACAGCUGCUGUGGUGGUAUCAAGGGCCUCAUGUCUUUCCCAGACGACGGGUCCUCUUCUACGGACUUCAUAGAAAAUUGGGUGAAGAUCUGCUCAGCCGCCAAGACCAAGGUGGCAGCAAAAGGCGAAGGUUUAAGUUUCGAAGAGCAAUGCCACAGCUGCGAGAAGGCAAGUAAUUAGACCUACCAUGUUCUAUACUAAUUAUUAAUUAGCCUUAAAACUACAAGAUCCAUAAUUAAUUAGGUUUCAGUUAAAUUAAUUAUGGACAUUAAGGAUCAUGCAUGGUUCCAAUAUAUACCUCUCAUCACUGUGCUGGUGCAGGAGGCUGUCAAUGUAUCGCUGGGAAAUCUGUUGACAUAUCCCUUUGUGAGAGAGGCCGUGGUCAAUGGUGCUGUAUCGCUGAAGGGUGCCCACUACGAUUUUGUCAAGGGAACUUUCGAGCUAUGGGAUCUAGAUUUCGCAAUUUCCCCUUCCAUUGCUAUCUGAGCUUAAUUUCAAUGCUUGUUGUAUAUGUUCUAUCGAAUAAUUUUAUUUUAUUUUUGUCAUGAAGGUGGGGUUUGAAUUCCUUUAUUUUUUUUAAUAAAAAAAGAGAUAAUAAUGCUAAUUGAGCCUUUUAAAUAAUAUUUUUUUGACAAUGUGAAGCUUUGACCGGCUUCAUUUUAUA